rnacentral:rRNA from 1 species
ACGAGGAGUACCGGCGGAGGUGGAGGCGCCCGCGGCCCCCGAGCCCGGAGGAGGAGCGGCGCGCGGCGGCGAAGGGGCGGCGGAAGCGGCGGCGCCCCCCGGUGGCGCAGGCGGACGAGGUGAGGAAGGGGAGGGCCUGGGCGGAGGGGGCCGCCGGGCUCGAGCGGACGACGAAGCCCUGGCGGGGGCGGCUCCGGCACGGGCGGCGGCGGGGGCGCUGGGGCGCGAGGUCCUUACAAGCAAGGUACCUCCUCUCUUCCCGAACACUUCUUGCUGAUCCCGUCCAUCAACUCUUCUACUUUUUCCUUCCUUAUCUAUACUCGGUUACCUCCGAACCGUGAAAAGUUGCCUGCUAAACGGGUGUCACGCUUCCCCCGAGUUGACUCCUUGCUUCGGAGUCGCAUAAGUAGGCCCUUCUACCAUGUGUACCUUUGACCUGAACAAAAUCUCGCUUAACACCUACCUUUCCGAUAUGGGUCGGACUACCUCAAGGCUUCCGCAUGGUUCGUUUCUUCCUGAGCCCUUUACUUUUACUUUCACUGGUCCUUCAGUUUCGUUUAGUCGGUCAGUUCCAAUAGUCUUUUGAAGCACUUCUCCUGGACGCAGAGCUCGGAGAAACACUACUCGAGCACUGUAUGAAAAGUCUUUCUUACUAUAGCCGUUUUUGUGAAUCUUCCUUGUUACAUAGCGUUGCAUUUUCCUUAUUGUUCUAGCAAUAACGAAAGUGGAUAUCUGCACUAUUUCAGGAACAACCGACGUUUAUGUCCCUUCAUAGAUUCUUUAAAAGUGUCCUCCGCUUGUGUCUCUUUUAAAACAUGCCAGACCUACUAUAUUUCGUUCGUGCGCUAUAAUAGUAACAACUCCCACUUUAACUAUUUGAAAGGUACCUCCUCCGACCGAUAGCAUUAACACACUCACACGGUCUACCACGUGGUCGCGUUCAUAGUUUGUUUGAGGGCCUGUUUCUAGUACUAUUUUUCAUAAGUAUAGACACCUUGACGUUUCUCAUAGAACUGGGCCGUAGAUCCUAUUAUGACCGUUGCCUACGACUAGGAGGUCCCGUCCGAGAACGACUCCUUGAACGAGCUGCAGAACCAUUUCUUUCCACAACCUCCCAGUUUACCGGUUUCUUCUUGCUCUGUCUUAAAACGUUUCUACGAUUGCUCCAUGAAUACAAGAAUCCUGGUGUUCGUAACUUUCUCCAAUAUCUUCCACGUCUUGACAUAGGAUAUUCUCCAGAUAAGUUGAAGUUUCUAAAGAAGGGACUCUAGCUAUCAAUAAUAGAUCCUUAAGUACCCCUACUCGAACCUUAAGGAUGACCAACCUUUACAUACCUACCCGAGAUGUUCCAACAAGGACCCCUUAACUGGUAUCAUUGUCCUCAUGGUUUAAGGCCGUUUUCACUCACCUAGCUACGUAAUGACACAUUAUAUUUGUUAGUCACACCUACCUUUAAACAUGAUACGAGCUACCUUUUGUUCCAGUCUCUGGUACGGGCCUUUGAUAACCUCUUCGUGUAAUUCUUUGGAAAGAAACUACGAUCUAUACCCCCGAGACACCUUGCCUACUCAUUUCUACUUAAACUUCUUCCGUUUCUUACCAACUUACUCAGUAAGGUAGACUAAUCCACACUUCUACUAACGGAAGGUAGGUAGCUAACCCAAGAAUUAGAACGAUUUCGGCGUCAAGAUUCUGUACCUCAUGCACCAGAACACUAACUAGGAAUAUUGCUCGAACUGGUAGUCGCGGGGGGUUUAGUUUGGCUCUGUCUUAUACAGUCGGUCUAGGAAUGCUUCUAAUUCGCAAAACGUGUUGUAGUAAGUACAGUACAUACCAAACAACGCGUGGGAUCCGUCGAAGUGUUGACCUGACCGCGUGGCGGAUUAUACAUGCUGUAGUCACCUUCACGCGUAAAGUAUUUGUUUACACUAUUACCAUAGCAGUAUGUGGCUUUGUCCCUAGGUCUACGACCGGGACACCUACAGCACGUCCAGACAUACUUCUUCCAAGCCUUGUUUCACUAACCCGUUUAUCCCCUACGAAAGAACUGUAUGCUGGCCUAAUGACCACUUAUGUUCCUUCGGCUACUCCGGUAACAUCGUUUCCACCACUUCGUCGUCUAAGCAGUCUUUAGCUGUUCAAUGGUUGCGACUAAAUGAAACGAGCGAGAGGGCCUGUCAACUGUGCCAACUCUAUAAUACCGGGAGCGAAGACACCUACAGUGUCAACUGUCAAACGGCACACUAGCACCGUCUAACCGAUUGAACUAGCAAGUACGUAGACUCGACUAAGGACCACGCUUUUUACACCAGCUUCCGAUGAUUGGAAUGAUUCUGCCGGUGUACCGUAACGACCCCACACCACCACAUAUCGUUCGAUCUAGUAUAAUAACAUUAAUUAGCAGCGUGGUCCGCCUCCAGCACAGUCGUCCCUUUCGAGUAGAGUUGGCGAUCAUCCAAUAAAAAACAUACGGGAAGGCUGCCAACAUCGUCAACCUUCAGGUACUGUGAGUGUGCAUAGCAACCGUAGUCAAACGUACGUAGUCGUCUUCGGGUACUAAACGAGUAGCCUCCGGGGUACAAAACUUAGAAGGAUGGUGGGUCGUGUACGGUAGCUGGUACACCACUGGUUUAGAUAAACCUAGACUCGACCUUGCUGUUUACGAAGGUUUUAGAUACUAGUAAUCUAGUAAUUGGUCGUAAAAAGAAAGGGCGAAUUGAAACG